UACGUAGGGUGCAAGCGUUGUCCGGAAUUAUUGGGCGUAAAGGGCUCGUAGGCGGUCCAUCGCGUCGGGAGUGAAAAGCUGGGGCUUAACCCCAGUCCUGCUUCCGAUACGGGUGGACUAGAGGUAGGUAGGGGAGAACGGAAUUCCUGGUGUAGCGGUGAAAUGCGCAGAUAUCAGGAGGAACACCGGUGGCGAAGGCGGCGCCCUGGUCCGUUACUGACGCUGAGACGCGAAAGCGCGGGGAGCGAACGGG
rnacentral:rRNA from 1 species